AUGACAGUCGAGCGGACAGAUGGGAGCUUGCUCCCUGAUGUUAGCGGCGGACGGGUGAGUAACACGUGGGUAACCUGCCUGUAAGACUGGGAUAACUCCGGGAAACCGGGGCUAAUACCGGAUGCUUGUUUGAACCGCAUGGUUCAAACAUAAAAGGUGGCUUCGGCUACCACUUACAGAUGGACCCGCGGCGCAUUAGCUAGUUGGUGAGGUAAUGGCUCACCAAGGCAACGAUGCGUAGCCGACCUGAGAGGGUGAUCGGCCACACUGGGACUGAGACACGGCCCAGACUCCUACGGGAGGCAGCAGUAGGGAAUCUUCCGCAAUGGACGAAAGUCUGACGGAGCAACGCCGCGUGAGUGAUGAAGGUUU
rnacentral:rRNA from 1 species